rnacentral:tRNA from 2 species
GCCCGGGUGGCGAAAUGGUAUACGCAAGGGACUUAAAAUCCCUGGUCUGAAAAUGGCGUGCGGGUUCGAGUCCCGCCCUGGGCACCA